UAUAUAUAUAUAUAUAUAUAUUCAAUUAGAAGUUAAAUUAGCCUCAUUAAGGGAUGGUAUCAUCCAAUUAAUUACUGGGUUAAUACCUAAUAAUUGUUGUGAACGCUAAUAUUCAUAAAACAAUAGGUUUAUUUAUCAACCAC